ACAGAGGUAAGUAAACCGGAAGUUCAUUCAUUCCUAUGGGAAUCUCCGUGAUGUCCGACCUGCCUGCGAAACUUCUCCCCUCCGCAUUAUUUUCGUCCAGAAUGUGCCACAACCGACUCCGCUAACACACCCAGAGCCCAGACUGUACUGUCUCCAACCUCGACAUCCCAGCUGUGAGUCCCUGAGUCGAAGCCCUCUGAGCCCAGGAUGGAGAAGUAAGAGUUAAACCUUUCUGGAUUACCAGGACACUGCUGCUCCCCUCCUAGUCUUAUACCUCUCAGAUCAUCAGACUGGAUGCAUUGUGGGCAGUGGACUCCACAGAUGAUAUCAGAAGCUGGGAUCAUCUCCGGUUCAUCACGGAUGUGUUGCAGUUGCCCUGCCAUCCGUCUGCGCACACUGACUGUGUUUGCAGCGCAGCACUGAGCAGCACCGCUAGACUGCUAGACCCGGGAGGCACAGGAGUUUCACGGUAGUUAUAGAAUCCCAUCUGGCCAUGUUGCCAGGCUCCCAUCAGCCUCACCGGGAUGUGUGGCAGCGUCCGGAGCCACUCCGAUGCUGGGAACGGCUCAAUGGGAAGCAAAGGGAACGCUGGGAUCAUGAUCGUCUAUGUGAGGCUUGUUUCAUACCUCAUCUGACUGUGUGUGGCUCCUGUGUGAGGCAGCAGCGUGUGAUGAAUGACUAAUGAAAUAAAACGUCUCAGUGUGUCCAUGUCAAGGCAGAAAUCUGAUUCAUAUUAGAUCUUAUAAGAGAGAGAGGUGUUUCACUUUAU